CAGCCGCCGCGGGAAUACGAAGGGUGCAAGCGUUAAUCGGAAUUACUGGGCGUAAAGCGCGCGUAGGUGGUUUGGUAAGAUGGAUGUGAAAUCCCCGGGCUCAACCUGGGAACUGCAUCCAUAACUGCCUGACUAGAGUACGGUAGAGGGUGGUGGAAUUUCCUGUGUAGCGGUGAAAUGCGUAGAUAUAGGAAGGAACACCAGUGGCGAAGGCGACCACCUGGACUGAUACUGACACUGAGGUGCGAAAGCGUGGGGAGCAAACAGGAUUAGAUACCCCAGUAGUCCCUGUCUCUUAUAC
rnacentral:rRNA from 1 species